rnacentral:rRNA from 1 species
UCGACCUGAGGUCAGGCAAGAACACCCGCUGAACUUAAGCAUAUCAAUAAGCGGAGGAAAAGAAACUAACUAGGAUUCCCUUAGUAGCGGCGAGCGAACCGGGAUGAGCCCAACUUGUAAAUCAUUAGCCCUCGGCUGAUUGAAUUGUAGUCUCAAGAUGCGAUCUCUGCAGCUAGCAGUGCCCAAUUUUCCUUGGAAAAGGGAGUCAGAGAGGGUGAGAACCCCGUCGGCACUUGCCUCAGCUGCUUCACGAGGCGUUUUCUCAGAGUCGGGUUGCUUGGGAAUGCAGCCCUAAGUAGGUGGUAAAUCCCAUCUAAGGCUAAAUACUGACGGGAGACCGAUAGCGAACAAGUACCGUGAGGGAAAGAUGAAAAGAACUUUGAAAAGAGAGUCAAAAGUGCUUGAAAUUGUUGAGGGGGAAGGAAUUGGAAGCCGUUUGUGCGCCCGGGCUUAAGCAGGCAAUUCCGCCUGAUGUACGCCUUGGGUGCCGGUCAGCAUCGGCUACCGGACCGGGAAAAUAACUUUCCUUCGGAGAGUGCAUACCGGGCUCGGUGGCCGAGGAUUUGAAAGUCGCUCUUUGAGUCCUUCGGGAAACUGCGCCUUCAAGAUGCUGGCAAAAUGGCUUUUAAUUCGCCGUCUUGAAACACGGAAAUCGAAUUCCGCGGCCGCCAUGGCGGCCGGGAGCAUGCG